ensembl:lncRNA novel transcript
CUGCUGGUUAAGAUCCGUUAUAGUGCUUUGUUUAUUUAGAGUGCCCUUACUUAGUGGCCUCUUUAAUUCUCCACGGUGCUAUGAGAACACCAUAGGAAGUAGGGUUGAAAUAGGGCCAGGGCGCACCACGGGUGGUGGUGAGGUCACUGUCCAGGUCUGGGACUCAGCCAUUGUGGGAGGGGGACAUGAACAGACACUCUACCACAUCAGGGAAUUUGAAUACUGUCUUUGGAUAUGUUGAUGAAGAGACUGUCAGCCAGGGCAUUUCGGCUUCCUAUGUGGGUUCUGGAAAGCUUGUUGGAAACAGACUCGUGAGACACACUCAAACCAGUUUGUUUUCUUCAGCAAACACCUGGUAGAGAUUGGAAUUGAACAGUGAGUGAAGAAUGACCUCACGCUGCCCAGAAUUCUGAUUCCAUGUGUAAUGCGAAUUCUGAGAGGCCUCUGUUUCUCAGCUUUUGGGUGGUAUUCAGAGAGGUCUAGUAACACUUGGUGUCACCUGGCUGGUGAGGGCAGGCUCCGGUGACCGCAAAGCUAAGUGCUCUGUAGGGCACCUCCCUCUCUUUCAGGGGCUGCCUGGGCCUCUGGUGCACAUGAUCCAUGGAGUCAGAGUCAGAGCUCUCGUCUGACAAGUGCUUUUGCUUUCUUUCUUUCUUUCUUUCUUUUUUGGAGACAGAAUCUCAUUC